UGAGGAAUAUUGGUCAAUGGGGGCAACCCUGAACCAGCCAAGUCGCGUGAAGGAUGAAGGUCUUAUGGAUUGUAAACUUCUUUUAUACAGGAAUAAAUUGGGGGACGUGUCCCCUUUUGCAUGUACUGUAUGAAUAAGGAUCGGCUAACUCCGUGCCAGCAGCCGCGGUAAUACGGAGGAUCCGAGCGUUAUCCGGAUUUAUUGGGUUUAAAGGGUGCGCAGGCGGGAUGUUAAGUCGGCGGUGAAAUUUUGCAGCUCAACUGUAAAAGUGCCUUCGAUACUGGCUUCCUUGAGUGUAGAUGAAGUAGACGGAAUUUGUGGUGUAGCGGUGAAAUGCUUAGAUAUCACGAGGAACUCCGAUUGCGCAGGCAGCUUACUAAACUACAACUGACGCUCAUGCACGAAGGCGUGGGGAUCAAACA
rnacentral:rRNA from 1 species